GACGGAGGAUGCAAGCGUUAUCCGGAAUUAUUGGGCGUAAAGCGUCCGCAGGUGGCUGUUCAAGUCUGCUGUCAAAGCGCAGAGCUUAACUCUGUACAGGCGGUGGAAACUGAAGAGCUAGAGUAUGGUAGGGGUAGAGGGAAUUCCCGGUGUAGCGGUGAAAUGCGUAGAUAUCGGGAAGAACACCAGUGGCGAAAGCGCUCUACUGGGGCCAUAACUGACACUGAGGGACGAAAGCUAGGGGAGCGAAAGGG
rnacentral:rRNA from 1 species